UCCAGUCCUCCAGCUGUUCCCGGGGCUGCGUCAAUUUCUGCUUCCCUCUCCGACAGUUUGGCUCAGCACCUGGUUCCGAAACCUCCCUCCUGCCUCCUGCGCCUCCCAACAUCCACUGCUUCCACCCUGCUUAAGCCUCAGCUCUUACCUGUGCACUGCUGUGACAGUCUUCUCACCACCCUCUCCCAAGUGAGCUAUUUAUAAACCCAUAUCUGAAUGGAUUAGUUCCAUGCUUAAAAUGUUAAAUGGCUUCCCCUUUAUCCCUGAAGAGUAAAAUCCAAGUUCAUUAAUGAACCCUCCCUAUCUCUCCAAUCCCUUCAUUAUCUCUUGCAUCACACCCAGUGAGAUUCUUCCUCCACUUGUAUAUCUCAGAUUGUUCCAUUUCUUUCCAUUCCCCCCACCAUAAUCCAAUUUACUGUCAUCUCUCACCCAGACUUUUUUUUAAACAUGUCUGACCCAGACUUCUGCAAUAGACUCUCAGCUGUUUUCCCCAAAUGCAUCAUUGCCGCCAUCCAGUCCACUAUUUGCACAGUCCACAGAGUUAUCUUUUUAAAAUGUAAAUCUGAUCAUGCCCUUCUAUUAAAAACCUUCAAGGGCUUCCCAAUUGAAGAGAAUUAAGACAAUCUUUAAAUAAUUUACAAAUCUUUUUCUCCAAAAUCUCAUUAGAAGAUUGUCCCCUGCACAAAUUCUAAACUCUAGGCUGUCUCAAGUACUUUUUGUUAUCACAAAGAGUGUUCCCUCUGGCUAGGGCCUUUGCCACAUUGUUUCUCUAACCAGAAACCCACUUCUCCCCCACUGGACCUUCUACCUCUGGUCAGGCUAAUCAUUAUUCCCACGUUUUCUUCUGGGACUCAGCUUCAUUUCCCCUGGAAAGCCUCUCUUGACCACCUUUCAAUCUGGGUUAGUUUCCUCCUCAGAGCUCUCAGACCCUGAGCUUUUCUGUGUCACAGUCUGAUCAAGCUGAAUCAUCUGUCCCUUCUCUGUACAAGGCCUGGCACAUUGCCUAAGACUAGUCAAGUGCAAUAGUGAGAAGAGGGGAAAGAGAACAAGGAGCAACCUCUGCAACUGACUGUGAACCACAAUGGAGAUAACUCACCACCUGCAGACCAGCUUGCCAAUUUAUUGUUUUGUUGAUUGUCUAUGCUUAAGAAGUGAUAGGAAAAGUUAUGCAGAUUAAACUUAGAAGUAUAUCA